rnacentral:rRNA from 1 species
UACGUAGGGUGCAAGCGUUGUCCGGAAUUAUUGGGCGUAAAGAGCUCGUAGGCGGUCUGUCGCGUCUGCUGUGAAAACUCGGGGCUUAACCCCGGGCCUGCAGUGGGUACGGGCAGACUAGAGUGCGGUAGGGGAGACUGGAAUUCCUGGUGUAGCGGUGAAAUGCGCAGAUAUCAGGAGGAACACCCGUGGCGAAAGCGGCGCGCUGGACCACUACUGACGCUGAGGAACGAAAGCUAGGGGAGCAAACAGG